rnacentral:lncRNA from 1 species
CGACACCAUAACUCUCCAUUCCCCCAGAGAGCAAAAUGUUCUUUCCCCCUACCUUUCCGCUUUGAGGUUUUCUCUCCAGGAUUUAAAAGUGACAUUGAAAGCAGCACUGUGUUCUAAAAAUAUAACUGCCAUUUCUAAAAGGCUUGCACAGUUUUGCCUGCCUAUUAUACCGCGAUGCUGCUCUACUAUUAGAGUUGGAAAACAAAAUUUCACCCACAAAGCAACCAUUUUGUGGCUUGAUGAAUGGCGACAAAGGUUUUAUAUGACAAGGUUUUGUCAUUUCCUAAUUUUCCUCUCUAUAUGAGCAAACAUGCUUGGGGAUGGAGAUGCGACACGUUGCUCUGAAUGGAAUUCUCCCUAAUAUCUCUCUUCAACUUGGAACUGUUCCUUAAGAUCUUCAAGUUACUCUUGCUAAUGUGGCUUCUGCCAUCUGGUGGCUGAGAGCUAUUUUUUGCCAUCCUGUCUCCAGGAGCCUCAAGUUCAUACCCCUUGGUGGUGAUGCGUGUCAUAGCACAGCCUGACUGCCAAUCAAGUCUUUUAACAUCUUCCUGAAACUAUUCUUGGAGAGCAGGAACUGAAAAUAAGUGAGAUGAAAAUAACUUAUCCUGGCCAAAAUGGCCACUUCCUGUAGAAGAAUCGAGCCUUCACUGAGAGAGAGAGAGAGAGAGAGAAUGCUAUCUCUUCAUUUCGCUACUGAAAAUCUGCAAUUAGCUCUGGCCUGUUGCUGAGACAACAUGCAGAAGACAUGUGGAAACUACAGCCUCCACUCUGCAGGAAAUGCAGCCUGCCCCCGAUAUAGGAGCUGCAGGGGAGGUGAAUCCCUCCCAGCCACCACCUCCAUCCAUGGAGGAGCUGAAAUCUGCAGCUGUGAAGAAGCAAUGACCCCCCCCAGCUACCCUACUCAAGAGAUUCUGAGCUCAGUUUUGGAUGCCGGGCAGAGCAAAGCUGCAUUAAUGAAGCCACGAGAAAGCCCUAACCCCAGUGACAACCCCUGCAAGAAGGCUGG